GUUGCCUUUGAGAGUUACUCCUUGCUCUCUUCAGAAGUUCUCUACCGAGAACGUGCAGUGGCUGUCAUAGACAGCCUUCAGACUGCGGGCAACGUCAGUUCCAUAAGGAACUGAUAAUCUCCAAAAGGAG
rfam:Cassia yellow blotch virus RNA3, complete sequence.